rnacentral:rRNA from 1 species
CCCCUAGAUGUUCUGGGCCGCACGCGCGCUACACUGAACAGUUCAACAAGUCUUAACCUUGGCCGAUAGGUCUGGGUAAUCUUUGAACGCUGUUCGUGAUUGGGAUAGACCUUUGCAAUUAUGGGUCUUCAACGAGGAAUUCCUAGUAAACGCAAGUCAUCAGCUUGCAUUGAUUACGUCCCUGCCCUUUGUACACACCGCCCGUCGCACCUACCGAUUGAAUGGUCCGGUGAAAUCUUCGGAUAGCUGGUAGUUGGCUUGCCAUCUACUGCUAAAAGUUGCUUAAACCUUAUCAUCUAGAGGAACAAGAAGUCGUANCA